rnacentral:rRNA from 1 species
CACCGGCGGCUCGAGUGGUAACAGCUAUUAUUGGGUCUAAAGCGUCCGUAGCCGGCUUGGCAAGUCCCCUGGGAAAUCUGGCGGCUUAACCGUCAGGCGUCCAGAGGAUACUGCCAGGCUUGGGACCGGGAGAGGUGAGAGGUACCUCAGGGGUAGGGGUGAAAUCUUGUGAUCCCUGAGGGACCACCAGUGGCGAAGGCGUCUCACUAGAACGGGUCCGACGGUCAGGGACGAAAGCUGGGGGCACGAACCGG